UUUCUAGUCAUCUUAUUGAAGAAAACUCAAUCAUGGGGCGCAAUGCUACUAAUGUUGUUUGCAAAGUUUCUCCCCUAGUCUAUUCAUCUGAAACUUGCUCGUCAGAAACUAAAGUUGGUGAGCCUUUUGGGAAUGAUGAUGGAGAUGCCUCAAUUGUGCCUGUAUCAAGUAAGACAGUCAUUGAGGUGAAUAAGAAUGAAAAUUUGGAGGAUAAUUCAUGUUCAACAAUGUCAAUUUCAGAAAGUGAAGCUCCUGUCUUGGACCUUCCAAUUUGCAACCAUGAAAAUCAAUGUGAUGAUGGAGACACCCCAACUGUACCUGUAUCAAGUAAGACUGCUGCUGAGGGGAAUAAGAACCAAAGUUUAGAGGAUAAAAUGCAUUCUACCAUGUCUAGUUUGGAAAAAGC
rnacentral:lncRNA from 1 species